rnacentral:rRNA from 1 species
AUUGAACGCUGGCGGCAGGCUUAACACAUGCAAGUCGAGCGGUAACAGAGAGAAGCUUGCUUCUCUGCUGACGAGCGGCGGACGGGUGAGUAAUGCCUAGGAAUCUGCCUAGUAGUGGGGGAUAACUUGCCGAAAGGUAAGCUAAUACCGCAUACGUCCUACGGGAGAAAGGAGGGGACCUUCGGGCCUUUCGCUAUUAGAUGAGCCUAGGUCGGAUUAGUUAGUUGGUGAGGUAAUGGCUCACCAAGACCGCGAUCCGUAACUGGUCUGAGAGGAUGAUCAGUCACACUGGAACUGAGACACGGUCCAGACUCCUACAGGAGGCAGCUGUGGGGAAUAUUGGACAAUGGGGGGAACCCUGAUCCAGCCAUGCCGCGUGUGUGAAGAAGGUCUUAGGAUUGUAAAGCACUUUAAGUUGGGAGGAAGAGCAGUUAACUAAUAUUUGACUGUUUUGACGUUACCGACAGAAUAAGCACCGGCUAACUUCGUGCCAGCCGCCGCGGUAA